rnacentral:rRNA from 1 species
GGGUCAGUAGGUUGGUCGUGCCACCGGUACGUACUGGUCUCACUGAUUCCUCCUUCCUGAAGAACCGUAAUGCCAUUAAUUUGGUGUUGCGGGGAAACAGGACUGUUACUUUGAAAAAAUUAGAGUGUUUAAAGCAAGCUAACGCCUGAAUACAUUAGCGUGGAAUAAUGAAUUAGGACGAUCGAUCCUAUUUUGUUGGUUUCUAGGAUUGACGUA